rnacentral:rRNA from 1 species
GAUGAACGCUGACAGAAUGCUUAACACAUGCAAGUCAACUUGAACUUCGGUUUGGGUGGCGGACGGGUGAGUAACGCGUAAAGAACUUGCCUCACAGCUAGGGACAACAUUUGGAAACGAAUGCUAAUACCUGAUAUUAUGAUUUUAGGGCAUCCUAGAAUUAUGAAAGCUAUAUGCGCUGUGAGAGAGCUUUGCGUCCCAUUAGCUAGUUGGAGAGGUAACGGCUCACCAAGGCGAUGAUGGGUAGCCGGCCUGAGAGGGUGAACGGCCACAAGGGGAAUGAGACACGGCCCUUACUCCGACGGGAGGCAGCAGUGGGGAGUAUUGGACAAUGGACCAAGAGUCUGAUCCAGCAAUUCUGUGUGCACGAUGAAGUUUUUCGGAAUGUAAAGUGCUUUCAGUUGGGAAGAAAAAAAUGACGGUACCAACAGAAGAAGUGACGGCUAAAUACGUG